CCUGCCCAGAAUGGUUCCGAUUACG
rnacentral:miRNA from 1 species